UGCCACACGGAAUAACCUUUUACCAGUUGGUGAAAAGUAGCGAUUACCUAUGUCAGUGGGGAGCGUGCAUUUAGUUUGACUAAGACACAUGUGACGUCCCUCCCUAAUGUGUGUUUGCUUUGCAGUGGAGUGCAUGCAGUGCUGCAAUGACUCCAACACCUACGACACAUGCCUGGACAUCGCACUCUAUAUUAAUAACUCAUCGCAUCUGGUGGAGGCGUUUGGGGAGUUUUUCAACGAGGAGAUUCUGGAUGAAUACACCUGUGCAAGGUGCUGUCACAAAGGGAAAGCGACGAAGACGAUGGCUCUCCACCGCCUGCCCAACGUCCUCACC